rnacentral:rRNA from 1 species
AGUGAACGCUGGCGGUAGGCCUAACACAUGCAAGUCGAACGGCAGCACAGUAAGAGCUUGCUCUUACGGGUGGCGAGUGGCGGACGGGUGAGGAAUACAUCGGAAUCUACUUUUUCGUGGGGGAUAACGUAGGGAAACUUACGCUACUACCGCAUACGACCUCCGGGUGAAAGCAGGGGAUCUUCGGACCUUGCGCGAUUGAAUGAGCCGAUGUCGGAUUAGCUAGUUGGCGGGGUAAAGGCCCACCAAGGCGACGAUCCGUAGCUGGUCUGAGAGGAUGAUCAGCCACACUGGAACUGAGACACGGUCCAGACUCCUACGGGAGGCAGCAGUGGGGAAUAUUGGACAAUGGGCGCAAGCCUGAUCCAGCCAUACCGCGUGGGUGAAGAAGGCCUUCGGGUUGUAAAGCCCUUUUGUUGGGAAAGAAAAGCAGCAGGUUAAUACCCCGCUGUUCUGACGGUACCCAAAGAAUAAGCACCGGCUAACUUCGUG